CCUACGUGUGGCAGCAGUGGGGGAUAUUGCACAAUGGGGGACACCCUGAUGCAGCGACGCCGCGUGUGGGAAGACGGUCCUCUGGAUUGUAAACCACUGUCCCCAGGGACGAAGAUGACGGUACCUGGGGAGGAAGCUCCUGCUAACUACGUGCCAGCAGCCGCGGUAAUACGUAGGGAGCAAGCGUUUUCCGGAAUUACUGGGUGUAAAGGGAGCGUAGGCGGUAUGGCAAGUUGGGUGUUAAAUCUACCGGCUCAACUGGUAGUCGCACUCAAAACUGCUAUUCUUGAGUGAAGUAGAGGCAGGCGGAAUGCCUAGGGUAGCGGUGAAAUGCGUAGAUAUUAGGAGGAAAACCAGUGGCGAAGGCGGCCUGCUGGGCUUUUACUGACGCUGAGGCUCGAAAGUGUGGGGAGCAAACAGGAUUAGAUACCCCAGUAGUC
rnacentral:rRNA from 1 species